GACGAACGCUGGCGGCGUGCUUAACACAUGCAAGUCGUACGGUAAGGCCCUUUCGGGGGUACCCGAGUGGCGAACGGGUGAGUAACACGUGAGUAACCUGCCCACAACUUUGGGAUAACGCUAGGAAACUGGUGCUAAUACUGGAUAUGUUCUCCUGCUGCAUGGUGGGGGUUGGAAAGCUCCGGCGGUUGUGGAUGGACUCGCGGCCUAUCAGCUUGUUGGUGGGGUAGUGGCCUACCAAGGCGGCGACGGGUAGCCGGCCUGAGAGGGUGACCGGCCACAUUGGGACUGAGAUACGGCCCAGACUCCUACGGGAGGCAGCAGUGGGGAAUAUUGCACAAUGGGCGCAAGCCUGAUGCAGCAACGCCGCGUGCGGGAUGACGGCCUUCGGGUUGUAAACCGCUUUCAGCAGGGACGAAGCUUUUUGGGACGGUACCUGCAGAAGAAGCACCGGCUAACUACGU
rnacentral:rRNA from 1 species